rnacentral:rRNA from 1 species
UUGGGAAUUUUGGGCAAUGGGCGAAAGCCUGACCCAGCGACGCCGCGUGCGGGAUGAAGGCCUUCGGGUCGUAAACCGCUGUCAGGGGGGAAGAUGCCCGCAAGGGUGACGGUACCCCCAGAGGAAGCCCCGGCUAACUACGUGCCAGCAGCCGCGGUAAGACGUAGGGGGCAAGCGUUGUCCGGAUUUACUGGGCGUAAAGCGCGUGUAGGCGGCCUGCUAAGUGGCGUGUGAAAGCCCACCGCUCAACGGUGGGAGGCCGCGCCAUACUGGCGGGCUUGAGGGUGGCAGAGGGUGAUGGAAUUCCCGGUGUAGCGGUGAAAUGCGUAGAUAUCGGGAGGAACGCCAGUGGCGAAGGCGGUCACCUGGGCCAUCCCUGACGCUGAGACGCGAAAGCUGGGGGAGCGAACGGG